AUGCACAGAGUGGGGUGUUUGGGUUUGGGAACCUCUCCAUGCCCAAGCUCUCAGCUGCAGCAUUCCCCCAUGGCCGUAGGAGCGGGCACGUUUCUCUCAAUUACCUCCCCGAUGGCCUCGUUCCAGCAACAAUUAGCAGCCUGAGAGGGACUCUGGUGUCCUGCCUUACAGCUUCCUAAUAUAAUUACCGCAGCAAAUGAGCAGCGAAUUAAAUCAAGGAGAAAGGCAGGGGGAGGAACCCGUUGUGUGUGCUGCCAGGGGUCAGCGCUCUGCUUGUCUCAAGGCAAAAAGGCACCACUUGGGCCCUGCCCAGCCAGGCACCCCCAGCCUGGGGACCCUCCUGCCGAGCUGGAAGGAUGCUGCAGUGGUGAUUUACCCUGGGCAUCCUGCGUGCCAUCAUCCCCACCGCCAGGGGUGAAGCUGUCACCUUCCCAACUGGCCGUCCUGCUGCUGAAAGGCACAAAAUGUGCAAGGCUUCCCCUUCGCCCACUGCCCUGACCUGCAGACCUUGGCUGAAAACCGUGAACAAACCUCUCGGAAGGCAGGGCUGGAGCAUCGGGACCUCGGAGGGAUUGUUUGGAUUGUUUUACAGAGAUUGACCAUCUGCUGAAUUAUUUAGAGAAGUAAAUACAAGGCUCGGGAGGGAGAGCCCUGCCCCUGCCUGCGCGGGGCUGGGGGAGCUUGGCAAAGUCUCCGUGCUUUCUGCAAGGCUUUGGGGAGGGGGCACCCAAAAAAUGAGGGGUCCGUGGACCAUGGGGGGCUGAAGCCAGUGACCACCUUGGGCAGCCUUUGCAUUGGAAUGGAUGUUUAGCAGUGACAGGGGCAGCUCCAGGACUCAUUGCUGGUGGGUGUCAGGCUGCCUGCCCCUUCCCCGUUCCCUUCAGCCCCUUCCCCUGCUCCUGCUGGUGCCUGACCCCAUCCCACAGCAUCUCCCCGGAGCCCUGGUGUGAUGCCAGCCAGGGAACGAGCCAAGAACCUGCUGCCAGCGGCUCGGUUUGUAGUUCCUGGCUUGCUCUGGGAUUUCUUAGGCUGGAGGCAGGGAAGGGCUAUGCCUUUUUCUUGCAUCAGUGCAAAAGGACAAGAGGUGCCUUGCUGGCCAAGUGGGGCAUAAAGCAGGCUGUUCUCCCACGGGCAGAACAGGGAAAAUAGUUCUCCACAGCCCCUCUGUUCAGCAGCUGGGACGGAGCUGUGCACCCUGAGGAAGAAGAGCCCUGUGGAGAGGAAGGUCGGGCUCUCGCUUGGACUUACACCGGCCGCAAAGGGGUCCGGAGCCCCUCGCUCCCCUUCCCCAGAGUCGUGGGCACCGGGAGCGCAAAGAAGGGAGCAAGUCCUGCGCACACAUCCUCUGCCCCGCAGGUUUCUGCUCCCCGAAGGAUUAAUUUGCGCAGGGAGAGGUUUGCAGCGGAGCUGACGUUAAUAACAGGCUGAGUUAGAGCCCCGCCGCGGAGCGGGAUGUUAAUGGCUCUGCGCGGCGAUGGAAGGGGGCUGUUAUUGAAAACGAUCUCUGGGCUGUUGGGUUUUGCUGAACCCUGGAAUUACAAGGAGUUUGUGGGGAGGUCAGAUCUCCCCUGCCGCCACGGCAGGCAGGGGGGACGGAUGGCUGCUGCCCCAGCCCGGCUGCACUAAGGGGUGGUCAGGACACCAAAACCCCAGGAAAAUAUUCAUAUCUGCAGCCUGGCAAUGGGAUAAACCUUGAUUUUUCCUACUGGGCUGUGCAUGUGCUCUGGCAUAGCUUGGAAAAUCACAGCAUUGGUCCUGAGCACCUGUGAAGGUGCAGGGAAGGGGGGUGCAGGGGUGGGGGAUGCUGCAGAAGGGGGGUGCUGCAGGAAAGGGGACACAGCACUGCUGGGGAGCAGCCCACCGACGAGAUGCCACACAUGCCAUCCCCUCAAUGCCAUCUCACCCGCAGGUCCCCUCCCUGAGCAGAGCACCGAGACUCCUGGUGGCUGCGGUUUUUACGGCUGCCCAUAAACAGUCCCCUCCAUCUCUCUCUCCAUUUUUAAUUACCUAGAAAAUAACCUCCAUUCAAUUUACAGCUCAUUUGAAGCUACGAGCAAGGGCCCAUAAAUAUUUAAUGUGUUUAGAAGUGGCACCAACUGUCCAGGGUUUUUUUUCUUUUCACUUUUCCAGGAGUCGCCUUUGGUUUAGCAUAUUUACACCCCCCGUCUUUUACUUCUCCACCCAGAACCUCCUGUGAAUAAAGAAGCAGGAGGUAAAAGACAGCUGGCCAAGGGCUCGACCCCCACGUUUUCUUAGGAGAGAUGGACUGAAAUUGGUGUUCAGGGCAGCUUCUCCUCUAACUAGGGCAAUUAAUAGGAACAUCUCCGGGCUUCCUGAGCAUCCCGAGAGCCCUCUUGCUCUCUGACACCUCCUCCCCGGGUUGUUCUUGGCUCCCCAGUGCACGGAGCCAGCUCUGCAGCCUGGCAGCCAGCGCCGCUGGGUUAAAUGAGGUUUUGCUAGCAAAAGGGGAUGGCACGCCGGGAUUGCUGCCUUCUAAUUGUGGCUGCGUGUAGGAGCCGGUAGCUAGCAGAGAAUUCAGCCUGAAAUCUGACCUGCCCUACUUGCAAAGCUGUUUUUUUUCUUUAAAUUAAUAGUUGUUGCAGCUCAGAAGAAUGCCCAGGAAUUUCUGUUGAUGCCGUGGUUUCAGCCACCGGGGUCCCAGCAGAAGCUGGGAGUGGGGUGAUGGGGUUGCCAGUUCCCAGGUUUUGCCUUCAGAAAUCCCUUGGAAAUGGGGAUUUGCUCCUGCGUGCCACAACCCAGCACUAAAAUCAAACAUUUUCUGCCCAAAAGCAAACUUCUGCCUGCCUGUGAAAGUUUCUGAAGUCUUGACAACUGCUCCAAGUCCUGACUAUUGCACCAAAAAGCAACUUCUGCUCCCGGAUUUUUGUGGGCUCACCCAGAACAUACUUGGGUUGCGUGUAUUAAUUACUACAACACAUAUUUUAUUGUAACAUAAUAGAUAUACUUACUGUACGAGGAGUGACAGCAUUUAUUAAUUAUGCACAAGCGGGCCUAGGAAACAGAUUUGUUUGCUUUGAUGUCUAAUGCGGCAGACUUUUUUUUUCUGCUUGUUAAACUUAAUCAAAAGCAAUCAAAACGCGCUCCCAUAAAUUAUGGCAAAUUAAUUUCAAACAAAAGGGAAAAAAUAUUAGGUAACA